AGCUAUUUAGCUUAUAAAAAGCAAAUACUUUGAAAGUAUUAGAAAGAACAUAUUUAUUAGCUU
rnacentral:tRNA from 1 species